CAGCAGCCGCGGUAAUACGAAGGGUGCAAGCGUUAAUCGGAAUUACUGGGCGUAAAGCGCGCGUAGGCGGCUUUUUAAGUCAGAGGUGAAAGCCCGGGGCUCAACCCCGGAAUUGCCUUUGAAACUGGAAAGCUAGAAUCUUGGAGAGGUCAGUGGAAUUCCGAGUGUAGAGGUGGAAUUCGUAGAUAUUCGGAAGAACACCAGUGGCGAAGGCGACUGACUGGACAAGUAUUGACGCUGAGGUGCGAAAGCGUGGGGAGCAAACAGGAUUAGAUACCCCCGUAGUCCCUGUCUCUUAUAC
rnacentral:rRNA from 1 species